UACGGGGGGGGCAAGCGUUGUUCGGAAUUACUGGGCGUAAAGGGCUCGUAGGUGGCCAACUAAGUCAGACGUGAAAUCCCUCAGCUUAACUGGGGAACUGCGUCUGAUACUGGAUGGCUUGAGUUUGGGAGAGGGAUGCGGAAUUCCAGGUGUAGCGGUGAAAUGCGUAGAUAUCUGGAGGAACACCGGUGGCGAAGGCGGCAUCCUGGACCAACACUGACACUGAGGAGCGAAAGCCAGGGGAGCAACAGGG
rnacentral:rRNA from 1 species